rnacentral:rRNA from 1 species
GACGAACGCUGGCGGCGUGCUUAACACAUGCAAGUCGAACGGAAAGGCCCUGCUUUUCUGGGGUGCUCGAGUGGCGAACGGGUGAGUAACACGUGAGUAACCUGCCCUUGACUUUGGGAUAACUUCAGGAAACUGGGGCUAAUACCGGAUAGGAGCUCCUGCUGCAUGGUGGGGGUUGGAAAGUUUCGGCGGUUGGGGAUGGACUCGCGGCUUAUCAGCUUGUUGGUGGGGUAGUGGCUUACCAAGGCUUUGACGGGUAGCCGGCCUGAGAGGGCGACCGGCCACAUUGGGACUGAGAUACGGCCCAGACUCCUACGGGAGGCAGCAGUGGGGAAUAUUGCACAAUGGGCGGAAGCCUGAUGCAGCAACGCCGCGUGCGGGAUGACGGCCUUCGGGUUGUAAACCGCUUUCGCCUGUGACGAAGCGUGAGUGACGGUAAUGGGGAAAGAAGCACCGGCUAACUACGU